CCCGGGGUUUGCCUGCGGGGGAGGCCCAAAUCAACGGGGUGGAACCACUUCUUCGUUUUCGAUUCGACGGUAGCGCAGCGCUGAAUUCAUCUCUCUCCUUUGAAUGCGUCAUCUCAACAACACGUUUGAAUCUAUGGCAGGGUCAGCAUCCAGGACGCCGUCAGCCAGAAGAGGAGGAUGAAGACCAGCAAGGACGGCCCGGUGCACCAGGUACAAGCGCAGGAACAUCAGCACCGACAGCAGCAGCUCCAGGUCCGCCAGCGCCGUGUUGCGGUGGUUGGAGUCGCACAGCGGAGGUGAGAAAGACGAGUUGCCGUGGAGGCCCACC